UACGAAGGGGGCUAGCGUUGUUCGGAAUUACUGGGCGUAAAGCGUGCGCAGGCGGCUUCUCAAGUCAGGGGUGAAAGCCCAGAGCUCAACUCUGGAAUUGCCUUUGAGACUGAGUGGCUUGAGUACGAGAGAGGUGAGUGGAAUUCCCAGUGUAGAGGUGAAAUUCGUAGAUAUUGGGCGGAACACCAGUGGCGAAGGCGACUCACUGGCCCGAUACUGACGCUGAUGCGCGAAAGCGUGGGGAGCAAACAGG
rnacentral:rRNA from 1 species